rnacentral:lncRNA from 1 species
UUUGUUUCGGAAACUUCGAAAGUUACGGAAACAAGUUUUGAAGGGUGUAUAUAUGUAGCAGUAUCCAUGUCGACACCCUCACGACUCCACAACAUUGUUUCGCAUAUCCCUCACACCUCACCGCACCUUCGUAAACCUUCGCAACCUUGCCGGAAAGAUUGACACGUUGCCGGAAGGAACCUGGACAUCAUCGAAAAAAAAAAACAUAACACCUCACUGUUUUAUUCUCUCUCUCUCGUUGAUUCACGGCGGCCGGAGUUCACCGGAGUUACAUCGGACUCAAGUCGUCAUCGUUCGUAAUCGCCUCUCAUGUGGUAUUUCACAUCUAGGAUAAUCGCUCUUGGUCGUUCCUUGUAUUUCCAAAUCCUUUCCUCGCACGUUAUUAAAAGAAAUCGCUACGCAACCAAUGUUGAUUAUUGAAGUAUGGAUGAAUGAUGAAACGAGUUUAGGGUGGACUAGAUACACACCUAGAAUUUAUCCAUCUUAUGUUUGUUAUGUUAUUGUUGAAACAAGGUUGUAUUUUGUUUUGAAAUCUUGUAUGACAAUUUAGCACUUGCAAUGAAAUUUGAAUUUA